rnacentral:rRNA from 1 species
UACGGGGGGUGCAAGCGUUGCUCGGAAUCACUGGGCGUAAAGGGCAUGUAGGUGGGUUUGUAAGUCGUGUGUGAAACCCCUGGGCUUAACCUGGGAAUGGCACUCGAUACUGCAGAUCUUGAAUGUUCGAGAGGAUGGCAGAAUUCCUGGUGUAGAGGUGAAAUUCGUAGAUAUCAGGAGGAAUACCGGAGGCGAAGGCGGCCGUCUGGCGCGACAUUGACACUGAGGUGCGACAGCGUGGGGAUCAAACAGG